AUGGAAGGGGGGCUCUCAGUUAACCUUAUUAGGCAAUUCUUUGACCUUCAGUGCAAGACCCAAGAGAUCCACCUUGAUCCAAGCAAUGAGGAUACAAUUCAAUGGAAAUUUACCAAAGAUGGUUGCUACUCCACUGCCACUUCUUACAGGAUGCAUUUUGCGGGUUUGAUUAACUCCGAGAUGCCGAGAAUGGUCUGGAAGAUUUGGGCACCUCCCAAGAUUAAAUUCUUCUCUUGUCUUGUCCUUCAAGAUAGGAUAUGGACUUCUCACAGAUUGCAACGCAUAGGAUGGCCAGACCUCUGUCAGCUAUGCAAAAGGGAACCGGAAUCUAUGUCCCAUGUGAUGUUCAAAUGUCGUUAUUCCAACAGUCUGGAACAUGAUUUAUGA
rnacentral:rRNA from 1 species